GAGUUUGAUUAUGGCUCAGGAUGAACGCGGCGGCGUGCUUAACACAUGCAAGUCGAACGGGCGAAUUAUAUCGGAGGUCUUCGGGCCGAAGAGAUAAUAAGCUAGUGGCGGACGGGUGCGUAACGUGUGGGUAAUCUGCCUUUGUCAUAGGAAUAACUGCUUGAAAAAGUAGCUAAUACCAAAUAACAUAUCGUAUAGGCAUCUAUAAGAUAUCAAAGAGAAAUCGGACAAAGAUGAGCCCGCAUCUGAUUAGCUGGUUGGUAGGGUAAAAGCCUACCAAGGCGACGAUCAGUAGCCGGCCUGAGAGGGUGAACGGCCACAUUGGAACUGAGACACGGUCCAAACUCCUACGGGAGGCAGCAGUGGGGAAUAUUGCACAAUGGGGGGAACCCUGAUGCAGCAACGCCGCGUGAGUGAAGAAGGCUUUCGAGUCGUAAAACUCUGUUGUAAGGGAAGAUAAUGACGUACCUAAAAGAAGCCCCG
rnacentral:rRNA from 1 species